GAUGAACGCUAGCGGCAGGCCUAAUACAUGCAAGUCUAAAGGGCAGCAAUGUCCUUGGCGCACGGGAGCGUAACCCGUAUGCAACCUGCCCUCAACUUGGGGAUAACCUUCCGAGAGGGAGGAUAAUACCGCCUGACACAGAGUUCCUGCAUGGGUGUUUUGUCAACGCUUCGGCGUUCGAGGAUGGGCAUGCGGACGAUUGUCUAGUUGGCGGGGUAACGGCCCACCAAGGCUACGAUCGUUAGGGGAAUUGAGAGGUUGGUCCCACACACUGGCACUGAGAUGCGGGCCAGACUCCUACGGGAGGCAGCAGUAGGGAAUAUUGGUCAAUGGGCGGAAGCCUGAACCAGCCAUGCCGCGUGCAGGAAGAAGGCCCUCUGGGUUGUAAACUGCUUUUGGCGGGGAACAAGUCGGCCAUGCGUGGCUAAGUGAGUGUACCCGUAGAAUAAGCCACGGCUAACUACGUGCCAGCCGCCGCGGUAA
rnacentral:rRNA from 1 species